rnacentral:rRNA from 1 species
AUUGAACGCUGGCGGCAGACCUAACACAUGCAAGUCGAGCGGUAGAGAGAAGCUUGCUUCUCUUGAGAGCGGCGGACGGGUGAGUAAUGCCUAGGAAUCUGCCUGGUAGUGGGGGAUAACGUUCGGAAACGAACGCUAAUACCGCAUACGUCCUACGGGAGAAAGCAGGGGACCUUCGGGCCUUGCGCUAUCAGAUGAGCCUAGGUCGGAUUAGCUAGUUGGUGAGGUAAUGGCUCACCAAGGCGACGAUCCGUAACUGGUCUGAGAGGAUGAUCAGUCACACUGGAACUGAGACACGGUCCAGACUCCUACGGGAGGCAGCAGUGGGGAAUAUUGGACAAUGGGCGAAAGCCUGAUCCAGCCAUGCCGCGUGU